rnacentral:rRNA from 1 species
AUUGAACGCUGGCGGCAGGCUUAACACAUGCAAGUCGAACGAGUGGCGGACGGGUGAGUAAUGCUUGGGAAUCUACCUUAUGGCGGGGGAUAACUACGGGAAACGGUAGCUAAUACCGCGUACCAUAGGAUGAGCCCAAGUGGGAUUAGGUAGUUGGUGAGGUAAAGGCUCACCAAGCCGACGAUCCCGAGCUGGUCUGAGAGGAUGACCAGCAACACUGGGACGGAGACACGGCCCAGACUCCUACGGGAGGCAGCAGUGGGGAAGAGUGCGCAAUGGGGGCAACCUGACGCAGCCAUGUCGCGUGAAUGAAGAAGGCCUUCGGGUUGUAAAGUUCUUUCGGUAGCGAGGCGUUACCUACAGAAGAAGGACCGGCUAACUCCGUGCCAGCAGCCGCGGUAAUUC